rnacentral:lncRNA from 1 species
AGGCAGAACUAUCACUGAAAGGAAUUGCUGAGGGUGCUGAAAGAGCCCUAGUCAAAAUAUUAGCCCUACAGGAAAUGCCCUGAAGAUCAGUUUUCCAAAUUAAAAAAUAAAAAUAAAUAUCUGAGGCGGGUGGAUCACGAGGUCAACAGAUCGAGACCAUCCUGGUCAACAUGGUGAAACCCCGUCUCUACUAAAAAUUACAAAAAGUUAGCUGGGCACGGUGGCGCGUGCCUGUAAUCCCAGCUACUCAGGAGGCUGAGGCAGGAGAAUUGCCUGAACCCAGGGGGCGGAGGUUGCGGUGAGCCGAGAUUGCGCCAUUGCACUCCAGCCUGGGUAACAAGAGCGAAACUCCGUCUCAAAAAAAAAAUAAAAAAAUAAAAAAUAAAAAAAAAAUAAAUAUCUGUCUGGUUGCUUGAUCUUCUAGGAGGCUGAAUUCUUUUUGGAGAUGUCCACAAGAUUAAAGAAAACAAACCAGAUCUUUCAAGAUAUUCAUGGUACUAAAGCUGAGGUGUCAGAGCAGCAGUGCUCAGUAUUGGUGUAACGCAAGUUACGAAGGAACAACUGAUGUCCUAGAAGCUGUAGCAGGCCUUUCAGGUGAGGGAAAGGGCGUUUGCAAAGGCAUAUAAGCUUCAGUGAGGUGUGUUAGGAAAACAAUGAAGAGUGCAAUUUGGCUCAAGCACUUAUUCUACAAACACCAUUGAAGUGCUGUGUUGUAGUUAUUGAGGUCACAAGCUCUGUGGCUAAAUGUAUCUGAGUUGAAGUCCUGGUUAUACCAUUUCCCAAGUUCAG